GAUGAACGCUGGCGGCGUGCCUAAUACAUGCAAGUCGAGCGAACGGACGAGGAGCUUGCUUCUCUGAUGUUAGCGGCGGACGGGUGAGUAACACGUGGAUAACCUACCUAUAAGACUGGGAUAACUUCGGGAAACCGGAGCUAAUACCGGAUGAUAUUUUGAACCGCAUGGUUCAAAAGUGAAAGACGGUCUUGCUGUCACUUAUAGAUGGAUCCGCGCUGCAUUAGCUAGUUGGUAAGGUAACGGCUUACCAAGGCAACGAUGCAUAGCCGACCUGAGAGGGUGAUCGGCCACACUGGAACUGAGACACGGUCCAGACUCCUACGGGAGGCAGCAGUAGGGAAUCUUCCGCAAUGGGCGAAAGCCUGACGGAGCAACGCCGCGUGAGUGAUGAAGGUCUUCGGAUCGUAAAACUCUGUUAUUAGGGAAGAACAUAUGUGUAAGUAACUGUGCACAUCUUGACGGUACCUAAUCAGAAAGCCACGGAUAACUACGUG
rnacentral:rRNA from 1 species